UGGGGAAUAUUGCACAAUGGGCGGAAGCCUGAUGCAGCGACGCCGCGUGGGGGAUGACGGCCUUCGGGUUGUAAACUCCUUUCGACAGGGACGAAGCUUUUUGUGACGGUACCUGUAUAAGAAGCACCGGCUAACUACGUGCCAGCAGCCGCGGUAAUACGUAGGGUGCGAGCGUUGUCCGGAAUUACUGGGCGUAAAGAGCUCGUAGGUGGUUUGUCGCGUCGUCUGUGAAAUUCCGGGGCUUAACUCCGGGCGUGCAGGCGAUACGGGCAUACCUUGAGUGCUGUAGGGGAGACUGGAAUUCCUGGUGUAGCGGUGAAAUGCGCAGCUAUCAGGAGGAACACCGAUGGCGAAGGCAGGUCUCUGGGCAGUAACUGACGCUGAGGAGCGAAAGCAUGGGUAGCGAACAGG
rnacentral:rRNA from 1 species